AGUCGAGCGGAUGACAGGAGCUUGCUCCUGAAUUCAGCGGCGGACGGGUGAGUAAUGCCUAGGAAUCUGCCUGGUAGUGGGGGACAACGUUUCGAAAGGAACGCUAAUACCGCAUACGUCCUACGGGAGAAAGCAGGGGACCUUCGGGCCUUGCGCUAUCAGAUGAGCCUAGGUCGGAUUAGCUAGUUGGUGAGGUAAUGGCUCACCAAGGCGACGAUCCGUAACUGGUCUGAGAGGAUGAUCAGUCACACUGGAACUGAGACACGGUCCAGACUCCUACGGGAGGCAGCAGUGGGGAAUAUUGGACAAUGGGCGAAAGCCUGAUCCAGCCAUGCCGCGUGUGUGAAGAAGGUCUUCGGAUUGUAAAGCACUUUAAGUUGGGAGGAAGGGCAUUAACCUAAUACGUUAGUGUUUUGACGUUACCGACAGAAUAAGCACCGGCUAACUCUGUGCCAGCAGCCGCGGUAAUACAGAGGGUGCAAGCGUUAAUCGGAAUUACUGGGCGUAAAGCGCGCGUAGGUGGUUUGUUAAGUUGGAUGUGAAAUCCCCGGGCUCAACCUGGGAACUGCAUUCAAAACUGACAAGCUAGAGUAUGGUAGAGGGUGGUGGAAUUUCCUGUGUAGCGGUGAAAUGCGUAGAUAUAGGAAGGAACACCAGUGGCGAAGGCGACCACCUGGACUGAUACUGACACUG
rnacentral:rRNA from 1 species